rfam:Erwinia carotovora subsp. atroseptica SCRI1043, complete genome
GGGCAGAAAGGCAGGCUCCCUUAUGGGAGCCAAUGCAAACGAAACAGUUUUGACCGAAUUGGUAAGCAGGGCUGUUCCGUAUGCUGCUGUUUUUGACGCAUCGUUGAUCUAUUGGUAACACAUGAAUCCCAUCCUGAUAAAUCGUUUACAAAGAAAGCUGGGCUAUACUUUUCAGC